GGUUUCCGUAGGUGAACCUGCGGAAGGGAUCAUUA
rnacentral:rRNA from 1 species